ACCAAACAUAAUUAGAAUUCUUAACAUUCAUGAUCUCUCAGCAUUGGCUUCCAAAAUUAAUGGUCUGAGUAAUUUCUUACAGCAGAUGAACUGAUUUUCAAAAUAAAUAUAUUGCAGUAGUAAACAUCAGCUUUCUGUAAAGGAAGGAUGUGCCAGUCAAAGACAACUCUCAAGAAAGAAAGCACCCUCCAUUUUCUCUCUCCUAGAUUUCCAUAUUCAAAGGGCAUAAUGAAGGAUUGUAUUCCUGGAGUAAAAAUUUAGGGAAUGCACAAACAGAAGCUGCCUGCAGCACUUGUGUGUGGUUUUGGUGCCACAUGUUCCCUGUGCCAGCCUGGCUGCAGGAGAUGCUGGUGCCCAGGAUGGCUUUGGGAGCACAGAGUGUGGAGCACUUCCAGCUGCAGUUCCUGCUGGUGAGCUGUGAGCCCAGGAAAAGCCACGCCGAGCUCGGAGCUGUAAAAGCUGCCGCUUCCGAGCGGGCACAGUGGGAUCUCACAGCACCUCCUGGCAGCCUCCUGAUGCUGAGACUCAGGAUCCUGGAUCCCAUUCCCAGCCCUGGAAAGCCAGCAGCUCUGACACAGGCUGGCACAGAAAGGAAGCUCCUUCUCCCAAAGCCUCCAGCCGUCCUGAGAGCAGGUGAAGCUUGCUAGACACCGGGCAGGGUAAGCUUGACAGGAGCCUCCACAAGGAGUGUCAAAUAAAACACAUCCCCCAGACGUUUAUCUUUUUUACUUCUGGACAAAUUGCUCUUUAUACAUUAAGGAAAAAUUUGUUUUCCCCAGCCUCUCUAACUUCUGAAAGCCCAAGGCGAGGUGGCUCAUGCCCAGGAGACCCAGAAGUGCUCCCAUUUUCCUGGUAUGGUUGCACUGGUGCUACAGCCUGGCUGCCCUUGCUUUCCAUCCCCACUCUUAUCAUACAUCCCUCACUUUUUCCUGCUCUUCCCUUGGUGGGGCUGCUGAAUUUCAGACAGGGCUGCUCGAGCUGGGAUACACCUGCAGCUGCUGCCUCUGGCUGUGCUACCAGGUGGAGUCAGGAUUUUGUUGCUCACAGCUUUCCUCACACUUCUCCUGAGCUCUGCUUCCCUUUUGCCACUCAUGGUUGGAGUCUCUUCCCGUACACACACUCCCACCCCUUUGCCAGGGCUAUUUUUCUGGCCUGAAAUAUUUAAGAUUCUAUUUCUCAUAAAAAUGCUGGCAAAGGGCCACACAGGUCUGUGGACCAGCUGAUAGGGAUUAAUCCCAGUCCCAGGCUGGCAGUUUCCCAUCGAUAGCCAGGGCUAGGCAGGCAGGGCUGCAAGCCCAUGAUUCAGCAACUUCCCCUGAUUAAUCAAGCCACUUGAUUUUUUAUGCAUGCGACUGUGCCCAAGGCAGCUGCGAUAAGUCGGCUUGCAGGCAGAGUGUUAGCAGUGCUGGGGAUGUCAAAGGGUGGCUGAUAUUGAUAUAAAUAUAUAGAGAGGCGUAGUAUUCUGAUUAGGCUGUGGUUUUAAAUAGUCUUCGGCAGCAUUCGUUGGUUCCGUUGAUAGAAUCCUUUCCGCAAAUUUCCCGCACGUUGUACCUUGAUGCUGCAUUUCUUAAUUACGGAUACACUUUAUCUGAGUUAAACAUGUCGCAGGCCCCUUCAGCAUAAAUUAUACUCGGGGUGUGUGUACUGAGAGCACUUCCCAGGUGUGGGAGAGGAUAAGUGUGUGUUAAAGCAGCAUGAAUCUCAGAAAAGGUUUAGGAAAUAUUUUCAUUUUCCAAAAAAAAAAAACCCCACCCUGCUAAAAUCCCUGAGAACACCAACCCAGAGCAUUUUUUUUCUGUAGCAGGGGAAUGCUGUAUCUUGCAUUUCCUACCCUGUGGUUUGGGGAUGUGCAGGUAGAACUGCAGAUGCUGAUGGGCUUGGUGGCAGAAGUGUGUGCUUUGAGCCAGCCUUUAUAGCUCUUUUAUUGGUACCAUCAAGUUGUAACAGGGAAAAUGCCAGUGUGUUUUCCUGGCAUCCCAUUAAAAAAUAAAAGAGAAGGGCACCUGCAUUUCAGAGAUCACUGGCACAGCUUUGGUCAUCCUAAUGCUGCAAAAGACAACUUUUUUUGAGGUGCACAGCUGGUGGGAGUGUGAGGAGCAGGUCCCAUGCUCAUUUACAGCCCGUGGCUGCCAGCGAGUGCCCAGCAGACCUGGGGGUCAAAGCCAAACAUGGAAAAGGCAGAGGUGCAAAGAGUUUGGCUUCCAGACUGCUCCAGCCUCCUCCUCACACCCAGCCCUGGGUUUCAGAGGUGGGUCCAGGUCCAGAGGCUUCACUGCCUUUCUUGGCAAGCAAGGUUUCACAGCCACCUCCUCAGUGCAGAUAAGGAAAUGUGGCUCACUCUCAGGUGGUUCUGCCAGGUGUAAAAAUUAAGAGCAGUGUGUUAGAAGAACAUGGGAGGCAAAAUCAGAGAAUGAAGGCUUGGCUCCAGGGGAGUCAAAGGGAUGCAGAUAUUUGUGCUUGUCAGAAUUUUUUCAUGGCAGCAGUAAUUGUUGAUAUUUAUUUUUCAUCACUUCAGUGGAGCAGUGUUUGUUAAUAAAUCUAAUAAUAAAACAUCCACAACAAUUGCCAGAUUUGCCAAUUUUUUUUUUUCUUCAAUAAACUGAGUAUGAAA